GGCCCUUAUCCAAUCCCACUGACCCCACUGUUGGGAACAGGCUGUCUGGACCCCUUUCAGAGAGCCAACAGGAUAUGAACCCAGUUCUACCGAGGGAGAAACCAACAUCUUGACCAUUACACCAAGAGAACAUUCCUUAUUGGACCGAGGGCCGACACUGAUUUUGACGUCUCAGGCGGACUACCUCAUCACAUAACCUUGAGUAACCACGGCUGACCCAUGUCCUCUAUACAUUCCUGUCACUUUCUCUCAAUUAAAUUACAUUUAAUUCAAAGGAGGGGGUGACGAGGGCCUCAGCCAGCCUCAGUAGGAUGUACUGGGGAGCCAGCUGGAUGCAGGCCAUGGAGGACACCUGGAGCACCUUCCCUGACAGGGCCUGCUCCGUUAGAGGAUAGCCCUUCCUGUGGACCUCAGACAGGCCCUCCACCAGGACAGACAGGCCCGCUACCAGGACAGACAGGGACGCACUCAUGACCCAGUGCUGGGAGAGGAGAGGAGAGGAGAGGAGACAUGGAGAGAGACAUGGAGAGAGACAUUAACAUUGACUGAGUCAUUGAUGAGGAUGAUAUUUGUUGUUCAUGUGUGUGCGUGCCUGUGUGUGCGUGCUUACUGAUGACUCUGGCGGGGGAGAAGGGUGUUUUCUCCAUGGACAGGUUGCAGGAGGUGACACACUCUACUUUAUGGAGCAGAAAUGAACAUUAGAUUUGCCUUUUUUUUUACUCACAACAUCUGAAAAAUGUGGUACUUGUACUUUCCACUGAAAUGAAAAAUGUAAAUAUCUCAUGUGAAGCAUGUCAGUGAAGAGGCCUGAUGUUCUCCAUUACAUUGACCUGACUGAGUGAUGCAGGCGCGGUACAGUAUCUGCAAGCCGUACAGGGGGAAGAGCCUUGCCAGGACCUUGACGUUCUCCACGUGUGUCUCUUCAGAGAGUUCAGGAACACCCCAAAGUGGUCAACAGGGAACUGCCUGCACAACAAACACAUCAAUACUGGAAUAGACCACAACAACCACAUCAAUACUAGAAUAGACCACAACAACCACAUCAAUACUAGAAUAGACCACAUCAACCACAUCAAUACUAGACUAGACCACAUCAAUACUAGAAUAGACCACAACAACCACAUCAAUACUAGAAUAGACCACAACAACCACAUCAAUACUAGAAUAGACCACAACAACCACAUCAAUACUAGAAUAGACCACAACAACCACAUCUAUACUAGAAUAGACCACAACAACCACAUCAAUACUAGAAUAGACCACAACAACCACAUCUAUACUAGAAUAGACCACAACAACCACAUCAAUACUAGAAUAGACCACUUAAACCUAGGUAUAUACAUACACUGUAACACAAAGGUGAAACAUAGUCUGUGUGAAGUUGAGGUUGUGUUACCUUUUUUGGGCCUGAAGUUGAGGUUGUGUUACCUUUCUUGGGCCUGAAGGUGAGGUUGAGGUUGUGUUACCUUUCUUGGACCUCUAAUGAGGUUGUUGUAGACCAU